rnacentral:misc_RNA from 1 species
UACGUAGGGGGCAAGCGUUGUCCGGAAUCAUUGGGCGUAAAGCGCAUGUAGGCGGCCAUGUAAGUCGGAUGUGAAAUCCCAAGGCUCAACCUUGGAACUGCAUCCGAUACUGCAUGGCUUGAGGAAGGUAGAGGAGAGUGGAAUUCCCGGUGUAGCGGUGGAAUGCGCAGAUAUCGGGAGGAACACCAGCGGCGAAGGCGGCUCUCUGGGCCUCUCCUGACGCUGAGAUGCGAAAGCGUGGGUAGCGAACAGG